AUUGAACGCUGGCGGCAGGCCUAACACAUGAAAGUCGAACGAGUGGCGGACGGGGGAGUAAGGUCGGGGAAACUGCCUGAUGGAGGGGGAUAACUACGGGAAACGGUAGCAAUAACCGCAAACCAUCGGUUGUGCCCAGAUGGGAUUAGCUUGUUGGUGGGGUAAGGGCUCACCAAGGGGACGAUCCCUAGCUGGUCUGAGAGGAUGACCAGCCACACUGGAACUGAGACACGGUCCAGACUCCUACGGGAGGCAGCAGUGGGGAAUAUUGCACAAUGGGCGCAAGCCUGAUGCAGCCAUGCCGCGUGUAUGAAGAAGGCCUUCGGGUUGUAAAGUACUUUCAGCGGGGAGGCGUUACCCGCAGAAGAAGCACCGGCUAACUCCGUGCCAGCAGCCGCGGUAAUAC
rnacentral:rRNA from 1 species